rnacentral:rRNA from 1 species
CCUACGGGAGGCAGCAGUGAGGAAUAUUGGUCAAUGGGCGGGAGACUGAACCAGCCAAGUAGCGUGAGGGAUGAAGGCCCUGCGGGUCGUAAACCUCUUUUGUAAGGGAAUAAAAACUUCCACGUGUGGACGUAUGCAUGUACCUUACGAAUAAGGAUCGGCUAACUCCGUGCCAGCAGCCGCGGUAAUACGGAGGAUCCGAGCGUUAUCCGGAUUUAUUGGGUUUAAAGGGGGCGUAGGCGGGCUGUUAAGUCAGCGGGAAAAGCGCGGGGCUCAACCCCGGCCCGCAGUUGAAACUGGGAGUCUUGAGUUCAAGAGAGGCAGGCGGAAUGCGUGGUGUAGCGGUGAAAUGCAUAGAUAUCACGAAGAACUCCGAUUGCGAAGGCAGCAUGCCGGCGUGCCACUGACGCUGAGGCUCGAAAGUGUGGGUAUCAAACAGGAUUAGAUACCCGAGUAGUC